rnacentral:rRNA from 1 species
GAUGGGUCAGCAUCGAUUUCGACCCUUGGAUAAUGGUGGGGGAAAGGUGGCACCUUUACCGGUGUGUUAUAGUCCUCUGUCGGAUGUGGGGGUUGGGAUCGAGGAACUCAGCAUGCGCCUUUUGGUGUCGGGGCCUUGGCCCACGUCUACGUGCUUAGGAUGCUGGCAUAAUGGCUUUAAACGA